rnacentral:lncRNA from 1 species
ACAAUUGUGUUGCCAGAUUUCUUCGAAUGAAUAAACGGACAAUAAUGAAAAAAACGAAAAAAAAAAUAACUUACUAAAGACGCAAAAACUAGAAAAAAAGAAUAACUAGUGAAACAUAACCAAAAUUAGAAAAAUUGAAAGUACAAAAUCUAGUAAAAAUGGAUAACAUGCACUGUUUUAAGUUUUAGUAAAGUUAGAGGUAAAAUAGUCAUUAUAUAAUUUAUUUUUAAUAAAAUAAAUUAAAAUGGGUAAAUUUGUAAUUAUAUUAGUUAAGAGAUGGGAGAUAUGCAAUUUUAAUUUUAAGAGUAAAAUGUCCGGAUAGUCCAUGUGGUUUGUUAAAGUUCCACCUUUAGUCCCCAACAUUAAAAAAUUACACUCAUGCUCUCUGUGGUUUGCUUGAUUGUUACUCAGAUAGUCCUUGAAGUGGAUGAGGGUUAGGGGUUGUUUGUUAAGUCUAUACGAAAUUACUAAACUACCCUUACUUAUUAAUCAAAAUAUUAAAAAAUAGAAAAAAGUGGGACCCACCUUCCACUUCUUCGUCUUAAACCACCACACCUAACCUCCUAAAACCACCACCUCCUUAAACCAUCAUCGGCCACCCACGUCUUUAAACCACCACUCCCACCAUCAUCCUUUCUCCGCCACACCUGUUUCAUCACCACCCCAAAAUCAACCACCACCUCUGUUUCAUCAAUCAUCACCACUCCAAAAUAACCAAAUAUUCUUGAUUUUUCCCUCAAAAUCCCAUAAAACCACCAAUACCCAGUCCCACAAAAAUCCAUCAAAAUCUAUACCCAAAUUAAAGGAUUUAAAUACCCCAUUAUAAGCUAGCCCUCAUAUCAUACAUUCUUUUUCGCAGACACACAUUCUUCAUAUAGAGAGAGUCAAGGGAAUCCGACCACCUCUUCGAGCGAUCUCUGGUGAACCUUCACAGCACUGGCGAUGUCUGGUAGCCCUUGAUGGUUGGGGACGUGGAUAGAAGACGACUGAGGUGGAGCCGGACUAGUAGUGCCAACCUCGAGAGGAGACGACGGUAGUAGUUUUGGUUUGAGGAUUACCUCUACUAAUUAUUGCAGGUGGUUAUGGAUGAAUAAUUGUUGCAGGGUUUGGUUUGGGAUCUAGAAAAAUAGUUGUUUUCAUAGAUAUUUUUUUGUCUCUCUCUAUAUCUAUCCUCACACAUACAUAUGUAUAUGUAUAUGUAGAUAUGUAAAAGAGGGUUGUUGGAAUUUCAAAGAGGAUGAUCGAAAUCAUUGGCUAAGAGAGGCGGCAACAACCCUCACAAACCCUUCUUC